CAGGUGGGCUUGACGUCUGUGACCAGUAUUCAAGAGAGGAUCAUGUCUACACCUGGAGGAGAGGAAGCUAUUGAACGUUUAAAGGAAUCAGAGAAGAUCAUUGCUGAGUUGAAUGAAACUUGGGAAGAGAAGCUUCGUAAAACAGAGGCCAUCAGAAUGGAGAGAGAGGCUUUGUUGGCUGAGAUGGGAGUUGCCAUUCGGGAAGAUGGAGGAACCCUAGGGGUUUUCUCACCUAAAAAGGUAGGAAACAAUGCUGUGAAACCUAAUCAGACAGAGACACUUUUUGUUUGUCUUUGUUACUGGGGCACUUCAUGUCUUUCAGGACCUACUCUCCCCCUUAUUAUCUUGAUACUUGCCUUAAUUUCAGAUAUUUCUGAUUUCAUCUUAGAGCAUGGUCUUAUAGUACAAAGGCAGCCUAUUUCUAAAAUGCCUAUCUUGUUUACUAUUUACAA
rnacentral:sRNA from 1 species